rnacentral:tRNA from 1 species
UGGCUCAUUUGGUAGAGCGUGGUGCUUUUAAAACCAGAGUUGUGGGUUUGAUUCCUAC